CGAACGGGUGAGUAAUACAUAAGCAAUCUGCCCAUGGGACUGGGAUAACGUCUGGAAACGGACGCUAAUACCGGAUAGGCUGGGGUGAGGCAUCUUACUCCAAUUAAAGUUGGGAUACAACACCGAUGGAUGAGCUUAUGGCGUAUUAGCUAGUAGGUGAGGUAACGGCCCACCUAGGCGAUGAUACGUAGCCGACCUGAGAGGGUGACCGGCCACAUUGGGACUGAGACACGGCCCAAACUCCUACGGGAGGCAGCAUG
rnacentral:rRNA from 1 species